CACGUAGGUAGGGUUGGGAGGGUCGCCGCCUCCCCGUAGCCGAAGGCGUAAUGCGGGACCAGUAACCCCGCUAAUGUGUAGGUCAGACCACACACCCCCUAAGUCAGCGAUGAAUACCGCCCUACGGGGUCGACGGCGGUGGGGGACCCUCUGGAGGGGGGGUCCUAACCACCCUUACAGGGGGAACCAGGCCAGGCCCGGAAGGGAGCAACCUAACCCCUGACGUCGACGUUCGUAGGUCACCGGUAGGAGGACGGCUUAGGGUUAAGUGUGUGGUCUGACCUACACAUUAGUAGGGAGCUACGUG
rnacentral:SRP_RNA from 1 species